CCAUAAAAACGGAAAACGAGGGUUUUAGGAAAGCUUUGGUGAUCUCGCGCGUGUGCUGGAGCAUGAUGUCCUGGAGAUGGCAUGGAAAUGAAAUUCCGUGCCCUUUUCCCAUGCCUUGCCCCAUGCAAAUCAGCGGUUUCUGAGUUUUAUCCUUUUAUAAUACAUCCGUAAUUGAUAUGAAGAGCUUUGUGGCUUCUGGAUGUCUACUGCAAAGUCAGAAAUCUGAAACUGGUUGUUGCCAGGUGGGUAUCACCACCACGGGGAUAAGUGUGCAUUGCUCAAGUGUACCAUUAGAAGACAUGACUUCAGUGUAUCCUUCUUCACAACUGCAUGUCCUCAUCUGCAGGAGAACAAGAGGAUUUCUACACAUAUAAGGAAGACUUUCAAAAACCAAAGAAAUUUGGAGGUUUACCUGUUACGUUUAUACCAUCUGACCUUUGACACCAGACUGUUCGGGAAGAACCUUUCCAAGCACUGGCCAUCCAUUUGUAUUCAUAACACUGUCCAUCUGCAGGGACACAAUAAACAUGAACAGAAGCAUUCUGCUGUCUAGAAGGGCAAUCGUGGGGAAAGUAUAUUAGGAAGAUAUUUAUAAACAACUGAAAAGUGGUGAAUCCAUCUCAAAAAUGAUUCGAAUGUUACUGUCCUAAAAUUACCAUAGAAAUGUUAUAAAAUUCCCUAUACAUUCCUAAAUCCCAACUAAUGUUUUAUGUCCACUGUCAUAUCUGAUGUGAACUUGGAUUUUUAAUAUAACGUAACGUUCAAAGUAUUAUAAAAUAUCAAAUUUACAUACAGGGGCAAAUAAUAACAAAAAAAUGUUCAAUUACUUAUGCAGUUUUAACAAAUACUACCAUUUAGACAUGUUUGCUUUAGUUUUCUUUUGUCUGUUGGGGAGUGAAAAAUAAGAUGAACGUGAUGUCCUAUUAUUAGGUCCUCUUCCUGUUGUGAUAUUCCUCCAUAUCUAUCCAGCAAAAGCCACUAU